GAAACGAAAGGAGAGCCCUCAUCCCCAUCAAUCCCACAGGGGGAAUAAAUCCCCUUGCAAAAGGCUGGGGUUAAUAUACCCCUGGCCGGGCCCGCCUCUCGUUCCCAUGAUGCCCGGGAAAAGGGAGGGAGCAAAUACCACAAGGUAUAAAAGCCCUCAGAGGAGCUGUAGCUGCAUGCAUCCUCUGGCUUAAGUGUAAGCAAAUUCAGCGUGUUGCAAAAGGGAUCUGCCCUGUGUCAGAGAUGAUGUCUGAGAUUGAGGCUUUCCAAUGGCAGACCAAGAAGCUAACCGGUGAUCGCGGGGCCUUCUGAGAUGGCCGAGGCGGACUCAUUUCAUGUCCGACAUGGAUUCAUGUCAUCGGUUAUCUGAAAGAUAAGUCGGGGGCCAUGAGCCCCAGAUGGGAUGAUAGCAGGGUAGCGGGUUGGAAAUUCCUGGGAGAGGUUUAAAAAUUAGCAGAGGGGAAAGGGAUGCUCUCUGAGGGGCCUCUUAGGACAGCUAAAGGGAGCGGCUCUACUUUUGAUUGCAGCCGUUGGGUGUGCAGGGCACAGCAGUUCUAGUGUGUCGUGUGUUGUCUAGUGUGUUUCUGGGAUCCCGUAGCUCAGAUAUCUCUGCCUUUUCCCUUGAGGGCCUUAUCCCAAGUGUCAGC
rnacentral:lncRNA from 1 species